rnacentral:rRNA from 1 species
AGAGUUGAUCCUGGCUCGAGACGAACGCUGGCGGCGUGCUUAACACAUGCAAGUGGUGCGACGAACCAGGGGCUUGCCCUGGGGCGAAAGCCGCGAACGGGUGAGUAACACGUGAGUAACCUGCCCCGAUGACCGGGACAACCCGAGGAAACUCGGGCUAAUACCGGAUGUGGCGCACAGAUAUAAGCCUGUGCGCUAAAGGAAGCUUCGGCCUCCGCAUUGGAGGGGCUCGCGGCCCAUUAGCUUGUUGGUGGGGUAACGGCCUACCAAGGCAACGAUGGGUAGCUGGUCUGAGAGGACGAUCAGCCACACUGGGACUGAGACACGGCCCAGACUCCUACGGGAGGCAGCAGUGGGGAAUCUUGCGCAAUGCGCGAAAGCGUGACGCAGCAACGCCGCGUGGGGGAAGACGGCCUUCGGGUUGUAAACCCCUUUCAGGAGGGACGAAGGUUCGCCGGUGAAUAGCCGUGCGGAUUGACGGUACCUCCAGAAGAAGCUCCGGCUAACUACGUG